AUUCCUUCUCCAGGAGCGUAUAUUAAAGUUGAUGCAGUUAAAAAGCUUGUAGUUUGGGGUGGGUGUGGCCUGUGCGGGUGCGCGCAAGCGUUGCCUGCGGGGGGUGCGCCUUUCUUGGGGAGGGGUUGUGGGGGGCAUUUGGUUGCCCUUUGGAACCGCCCCGGCUUUACUUUGAAAAAAUUGGAGUGUUCAAAGCGGGUUUCGCCUGAACAGAUUAGCAUGGAAUAAUGGAAGAGGACUUUAGUGCUGUUUUGUUGGUUUCCGGUGUCGAGGUAAUGAUGAAUAGGGACAGUUGGGGGCAUUCGUAUUUAGUUGUCAGAGGUGAAAUUCUUGGAUUUGCUACAGACGAACAUCUGCGAAAGCAUCUGCCAAGGAUGUUUUCAUCG
rnacentral:rRNA from 1 species